AUUGAACGCUGGCGGCAUGCCUUACACAUGCAAGUCGAACGGCAGCACGGGUGCUUGCACCUGGUGGCGAGUGGCGAACGGGUGAGUAAUACAUCGGAACAUGUCCUGUAGUGGGGGAUAGCCCGGCGAAAGCCGGAUUAAUACCGCAUACGAUCUACGGCUGAAAGCGGGGGACCUUCGGGCCUCGCGCUAUAGGGUUGGCCGAUGGCUGAUUAGCUAGUUGGUGGGGUAAAGGCCUACCAAGGCGACGAUCAGUAGCUGGUCUGAGAGGACGACCAGCCACACUGGGACUGAGGCACGGCCCAGACUCCUACGGGAGGCAGCAGUGGGGAAUUUUGGACAAUGGGCGAAAGCCUGAUCCAGCAAUGCCGCGUGUGUGAAGAAGGCCUUCGGGUUGUAAAGCACUUUUGUCCGGAAAGAAAUCCUUGGCCCUAAUACGGUCGGGGGAUGACGGUACCGGAAGAAUAAGCACCGGCUAACUACGUG
rnacentral:rRNA from 1 species